UGUGGGCAGGAUAAUUAAGUGUAUUAGGGAUGCUUUGCCCCAUGCAUUAAUGUCAUGUAUAAACUCAGCCCUGGUAGAUGAUUUUACACCUCAGAACUUGCCUGAGCUGAAGGUGACCCCUAAAGAUGGAGGAGAUGUAAUAUAAACCAGACUGCAUUGUUGAAAGGGAUUUGGUUGUUCAUAAUGUGGCAAAGAAAAACGUUUAUAUGUGUGUUAAAUCUGUGCAUGUUGGACAUUUGCAAGGAAACAGAUACUAAAUGAAGGGAUAAAAUCUCUAUUUGCGAAGAAGUGCAUCCAUCAUGGAGAGUACUGUGUAAAGCUCUUAUCUCCAAGCGAUGUGGAGAUCUUCAGUGUAGAGUUGUGCUACAGCCUCAAAUAGAUAGGCUAUCAAAGUUUAAUAAGAUUGUUCUGUCCUGUAAUGCUCAUGAUGUUUUUCAUAUGUUUUUUGAAUGUCCAAGACUUUCCUUUAUUUGUAAUACUUGAAAGUUGAUCACAAAAUUGGGGUUUUCAUAUAACAAUACCUUAGUUUAUAUUAGGAUAUAAAUAUAGAAGUUCAUGGCAACAACACCAAUGAUUCUUGUCAUUUUUUAUGACAAAAGUGUGACCUAUGUUUACAUGUGACUGCUACUCUGAACACUUCCAAGAUCACAUUUAUGUUCAUGCAAACUCGUUUUGUGUGUUUGUUUUUGCAAAUACAGCUGCUCCAUUAUGUCGAGCAGAGACGAGUGCUCGGAGGUCAGCAAUUUUACGCGUGUUUGACUUCAUGUGGCGCUGCAAGAACCGAUCAGACGGAUGAUGUCAAGGUACCGCCAGAGCGAUUUGAAAUUAGACUAGUGAUUCCUCAACUCGCUCUCGCGGUACUUUGACGUCAUCGAUCACAUACGGCAACAACUCCUCCCUCCAACAUGAACCAGUUUGCGUCACCACCAGCGCUGCCGGUGAUUGGCUUACGUGGGCUUGAGCUUUUCUUGACGGCAUAUAUGCACGGGUACGUGUAAAUAAACACUUUUCUGAAAACUGACAUGUGUGCACGAUAUUAUUUUGGAAACCGGAGAGGUUGAAAUGUCCGUUUAUGAAAAUAGCCGCCCACGUGUAAACAUAACCUUAGUGACGUGAUACUGCAUGUCUGUGUGGAUGAACGGCAAAAAAAAGGUCACGGUUAUAAAAAUACCCGUGUCCGUGUGGACAAGGCCUAAGUUUGCCAUUUUGAAAUCCCACCAAAAGGCAGGAAAAUAAGGCCUAGUCCACACGGACAUGGGUAUUUCUAUAACCUGAGUUUUUCCUCCAAACAAAUCCUGUCCACACAUGCUCAGUUUAAAAGAAAUCUCUGUCCACAUGAAAAAGCAAAAACACGCUAUCAAGCACUGUCAAGAGCAUGCCACACCAGCAGGCGACAAUAUAACCUCUGACGUCAAAUACAGCAGAUAACGGCGCACACUCUGACGUCGCACGACAACACUGCAACCAGCGUUUUCUUAAAAUCCUCACCUUGGCAGGGAUUUUCAAAAAUGUUUGGUUUCAGUGCACUGAUACUGCGUUUUUGCGUGGACAAACGGCCGAACCACAUAAAAAAAUAACACGGUUAUAAAAAUACUCCGGUCCGUGUGGACUAGGUCUAAGUCUUUAAUAGAAUCUGUGUCCAUUUAGUUUACAUAUUACAAAUACACAGAUAGUGAUGCUUUGUUUUGAAUGGAGAUGGGGUGUGAGACUGACUGUGAGUGUGUACAAAAGCUUAGUUUUUAAUAAUGGUUGUUGUGGAUCCUGUAUAAAAUUUGUCUUAAGCCCUGUUUUCUCUCUCUCUCUCUCUCUCUCUCUCUCUCUUUCUCUCUCCCUAUACUGUAGUUUGCAAUGAAUUGUGGGAGCAUGCUAAAUGCAAAUUUUACAGUUAUGUCUGCAAUACUGUAUUUUUGAAAUAGGCUAAUAUGUAAAUGCUACAGGACAACAUGUAAUGACACUUAUUAUUUUAUUUUAUGUAUUUAUUUAAAAAGUCAGCUGUGGCACUAGUUUGGAAAUAAAAGCUUUGGCACUUUACAAUAACUGCAAUAAAUGCAGCCUAUUAAAUGAAUUAUAAACAUUCAUGUAGAUUCUGAUAAUGUACAUAUCUUUGUCAAAAAUGUUUGAUAAGAAACACAUUUAGACAACAUGUGUGCGUAGCGCAGUACGUGUGAUGUCACGACGUCAUCAGCAAAUUUGCGCCCGGUGCACAUGCGCAUUGCGAGUUUGCGCAGACAGGUGUCUACGGUCGGAGUGGAAUGAAGAAGUUGCAUCUGAUAAUUCUUCCAUUGUGUAGCAGCAACUGCAGCUGACAUGGAAUGUGGAUUAUCGGAUUCACCUCUCACUGAUCAUCCAAGGUGAAUUGAUGACCUCAAGCAAAUGGAUGUUGUCAUCUGAAGAGAAAGUUAUCCUGGGCCCAUGUUUAGAGGCAUUUGGGGCAUAUCUGACACAUAUCACAAUCAAGCUGCAUGCACACUUGAGUUUAUUCAGAGAGAAGUUGUGGGCAUCAGUCCGGAAACUGGAUAAAAAAUUUGCUGCUGGAAUGUGAGACAAAUAAAGGCAUGGAAUGAACCCAAAUGUAUGAACACUGCUACGAAAACUAAUGGACUUUGAAUGGCUUGCCAGUUAAUUCCAAUGGAAUUGAAGAAGAGACUCUGACAAGAUUUUCAAGUUUGUGUUUAAUUUAAAAGUUUAUCUUCAUAGAUAAGCAAUUUAAAGGUAGGCACAGUUAAAACUAUUUCUUGUGUGUUUGUUUAAACUGUAAAUUUAUGACUGAAGUUUGGUCACUAUGUAGUAAUGUGUUCCUUUGUGGUUAAUUAAAUGCUGCAGUGCUUAGUGGUAUUCGUUGUUGUAUUUCCAAGGCUAAAGCCUUAUUUUGUGAUCUGCAUUGUAUUGGAGAGUUUUGGAAACUAAUACUUAUUAUCUUAAUGCAUUGGAAAGUUUUGGACUAUUGAACAAUAAAUGCAUUUGGCUACAUCUGUGAUUUUCUGUUAUUUUAAGUGUUUUAGUUUACAUUACAUUAAAUGAUUUAUCACAGCAGUUAAAAAAAAUUACAGUAAUUUUUUUUACAGUGUAGGCUACCAUGACACAAGUUGCAGCUCCAAAAACAUUUCUUAGUCAAGUUGUAUAGCUACAAGCAGCACAAAACCAAAGAAGUGGAUUUGAUGAAGUCAUGUUGUAGUAUUGCUGAACAAUGUUCACCAGUUAGAGAUUGAGGUGGAAUGUGAGUUAACAGUGGACGUGGUCUUACUUUGCAGCAAGAGCAAAACCCUAAAAGUUUCAAUGCUGAAGAGGGAUACAUUUUAAACACUAUAAAUUUACUGAUUUAUGUAAUUUUACUUACAUUUCUACAGAAAAAUAAUCAAUAAAACAUUUACAGAAAUUUUCUGUAAAAAUAAUUUUUUAAUCUGUAAAAAUGAACGGCAAAUUUCUGUGGAAAUUAACGGCAAAUGUCUGAAAAUUAACGGCAAA